GAUGAACGCUAGCGGCAGGCCUAAUACAUGCAAGUCGAACGGGAUCCAGAUCAAAGCUUGCUUUGGUUUGGUGAGAGUGGCGCACGGGUGCGUAACGCGUGAGCAACCUACCCUUGUCAGGGGGAUAGCCCGGCGAAAGUCGGAUUAAUACCGCAUGACAUCAUUGAGAGGCAUCUUUCGAUGAUCAAAGAUUUAUCGGACAAGGAUGGGCUCGCGUGACAUUAGCUAGUUGGUAAGGUAACGGCUUACCAAGGCUACGAUGUCUAGGGGCUCUGAGAGGAGAAUCCCCCACACUGGUACUGAGACACGGACCAGACUCCUACGGGAGGCAGCAGUAAGGAAUAUUGGUCAAUGGACGGAAGUCUGAACCAGCCAUGCCGCGUGCAGGAAGACGGCCCUAUGGGUUGUAAACUGCUUUUAUACGGGAACAAACGUCGGUACGGGUACCGGUCUGAGUGUACCGUAAGAAUAAGGAUCGGCUAACUCCGUG
rnacentral:rRNA from 1 species